rnacentral:rRNA from 1 species
GUUUGAUCUGCUCAAUGAGGAAUUAAAUUGCCGCGGUAUUUUGACCGUGCAAAGGUAGCAUAAUAAUUAGUUUUUUUAUUGAAAGCUGGAAUGAAUGAUUGGACGAGAAAUUUUCUGUCUCAUUAGGAUUUAUUUUUUAAUUUAACUUCUGAGUUAAAAGGCUUAGAUUUCGCUUAAAGACGAGAAGACCCUAUAGAGUUUAAUAGUCUUUUUUACUAGGAAGUUUUUGGUUAUUGAUUUUUUCUAUUUUCAGGAUUAUUUGGUUGGGGUGACUUGAAGAUUAAUGAAACUCUUCUAUUAUUUUAUCAUUGAUUUAUGAUUGUUUAAUCUAGUUUUUUUAAAUUUAAAAUUAAUUACCUUAGGGAUAACAGCGUAAUUUCUUUUUAGAGUUCUUAUUGAAAAAGAAGUUUGCGACCUCGAUGUUGGAUUAAAAUUUAUUUUUGGUGUAGCAGCUGGAAUAGUGCGUCUGUUCGACCUUU